AGAACGAACGCUGGCGGCAUGCCUAAUACAUGCAAGUCGAACGAACUCUUCGGAGUUAGUGGCGCACGGGUGCGUAACGCGUGGGAAUCUGCCCCUUGGUUCGGAAUAACAGUUGGAAACGACUGCUAAUACCGGAUGAUGACGAAAGUCCAAAGAUUUAUCGCCAAGGGAUGAGCCCGCGUAGGAUUAGCUAGUUGGUGAGGUAAAGGCUCACCAAGGCAACGAUCCUUAGCUGGUCUGAGAGGAUGACCAGCCACACUGGGACUGAGCACGGCCCAGACUCCUACGGGAGGCAGCAGUAGGGAAUAUUGGACAAUGGGCGAAAGCCUGAUCCAGCAAUGCCGCGUGAGUGAUGAAGCCUUAA
rnacentral:rRNA from 1 species